AGAAUCAACGCUGGCGGCGUGCAUAACACAUGCAAGUCGAACGAGAAAGUGGAGCAAUCCAUGAGUACAGUGGCGACCGGGUGAGUAACACGUGACCAAUCUACCUUCGAGUGGGGGAUAACUCCGGGAAACCGGGGCUAAUACCGCAUAACAUCUUUGGAAUGCAAAUUCCGUUGAUCAAAGGAGCAAUUCGCUUGAAGAGGAGGUCGCGGCUGAUUAGUAGUUGGCGGGGUAAUGGCCCACCAAGACGAAGAUCGGUA
rnacentral:rRNA from 1 species